ensembl:processed_transcript Gm20540 predicted gene 20540
ACGCUCAGUUCUGGAAGACAGAAGCGGAUGGAACAGUUUCGCAGGUUUCCCUAACCAUUUAGAUAAAACAACAAACUUAAGACCUACCGUCACUGGAAACACUCGGAGAAGUGCAAUACAGGACCCUGCCCCUCACUAUGAAGACAGGCAGGAACUCCUUAUCACGGAACCUGAUCUUGCUCUCGUUCUCAUCAAAUGAGGCCACCCCAUCCCAAGAGAAAGAAGAUAGGUCAUGGAACCCUGCCACAACAAAGUGACAACCGGCUGUGCCGGACACCUGGCUAGCAAUAUUUUUUAGUCCUUGUCAAAGAAGCAGUUGUCCGGGGGACACCUGACUGCACUGGCACCCUCCUCCCCGGAGGUGAGGAAUAAUGUUUAAUAGACUGGGUGGAAGCGAAAGCUGGAACAGCUCACUGGAACCUAACUCUCACUCCUUAAUAGCACCCCCUUUUCCUGCUGCAGCACAGCUACCUGUUAUUAGGUGGUUCUCCAGGGAAGGGGGUGCAGGGGAAACUGAGGAGUCCUUCCCGCUGGGCAGGAGUGAACUCAAGCAACCCAGCAGUGAGUGCCCAGGGUCCUCCCCAAAGGAAGCCUCAGGACAGAGUGCAUUCUGAAGAUUAGGGUGGCUUGGAUCGCCCUCCAGGGGAGUAGAGACCCUUACACAGUGUCUCAAAGGUGUAACCCUGGCUGCCCUGGAACUCGCUUUGUAAACCAGGAUGGCUUCAAAUGUACAGAUCGCCUUCUGCAUCUGCUUCCCGAGUGCUGGGAUUACAGCCCUUCAACUCUGACUCCAAUGAAA